GAGUUUGAUCGUGGCUCAGGAUGAACGCUGGCGGCGUGCCUAACACAUGCAAGUCGAACGGAGUUAUUCGAGGAAGUUUUCGGAUGGAAUCAAAUAACUUAGUGGCGGACGGGUGAGUAACGCGUGGGAAACCUGCCCUGUACCGGGGGAUAACACUUAGAAAUAGGUGCUAAUACCGCAUAAGCGCACGGGACCGCAUGGUCCAGUGUGAAAAACUCCGGUGGUACAGGAUGGUCCCGCGUCUGAUUAGCCAGUUGGCGGGGUAACGGCCCACCAAAGCGACGAUCAGUAGCCGGCCUGAGAGGGUGGACGGCCACAUUGGGACUGAGACACGGCCCAAACUCCUACGGGAGGCAGCAGUGGGGAAUAUUGCACAAUGGGGGAAACCCUGAUGCAGCGACGCCGCGUGAGUGAAGAAGUAUUUCGGUAUGUAAAGCUCUAUCAGCAGGGAA
rnacentral:rRNA from 1 species